rnacentral:rRNA from 1 species
AGUGAACGCUGGCGGUAGGCCUAACACAUGCAAGUCGAACGGCAGCACAGUAAGAGCUUGCUCUUACGGGUGGCGAGUGGCGGAUGGGUGAGGAAUACAUCGGCCUCUACUUUUUCGUGGGGGAUAACGUCGGGAACCAUACGCUAAUACCGCAUACGACCUACGGGUGAAAGCAGGGGAUCUUCGGACCUUGCGCGAUUGCAUGAGCCGAUGUCGGAUUAGCUAGUUGGCGGGGUAAAGGCCCACCAAGGCGACGAUCCGUAGCUGGUCUGAGAGGAUGAUCAGCCACACUGGAACUGAGACACGGUCCAGACUCCUACGGGAGGCAGCAGUGGGGAAUAUUGGACGAUGGGCGCAAGCCUGAUCCAGCCAUACCGCGUGGGUGAAGAGGGCCUUCGGGUUGUAAAGCCCUUUUGUGGGGAAAGAAAAGCAGCAGGUGAAAACCACGCUGUUCUGACGGUACCCAAAGAAUAAGCACCGGCUAACUUCGUG